rnacentral:rRNA from 1 species
ACGUAGGGCGCAAGCGUUGUCCGGAAUUAUUGGGCGUAAAGAGCUCGUAGGCGGUUUGUCGCGUCUGCUGUGAAAGCCCGGGGCUCAACCCCGGGUCUGCAGUGGGUACGGGCAGACUAGAGUGCAGUAGGGGAGACUGGAAUUCCUGGUGUAGCGGUGAAAUGCGCAGAUAUCAGGAGGAACACCGAUGGCGAAGGCAGGUCGUCUGGGUCUGAUUAACUGCGCUGAGGAGCGAAAGACAUGGGGAGCGAAACAGGAUUAGAUACCCCGGUGUCAGUCC